GAGCUGUUUGUACCCAAAGUCAUCUUAGCCAACCUGAAAAGGAGGCGGAUCGCCUAAGGUAUGUAUGGUGAUUGGGGUG
rnacentral:rRNA from 1 species